rnacentral:rRNA from 1 species
GACGAACCGUCCAAACGUUAUUCGGAAUCACUGGGCUUACAGAGUUCGUAGGCGGUCUGGAAAGUUGGGUGUGAAAUCCCUCGGCUCAACCGAGGAACUGCGCUCAAAACUGCCAGACUCGAGGGAGAUAGAGGAAAGCGGAACUGAUGGUGGAGCGGUGAAAUGCGUUGAUAUCAUCAGGAACACCGGUGGCGAAGGCGGCUUUCUGGGUCUACCUGACGCUGGAGGAACGAAAGCUAGGGGAGCGAACGGG